AAGAUAUUAGUUAAGCCAUAACACUGCCUUGUCAAGGCAAAAUCAUGGGUUAAACCCCCGUAUAUCUUA
rnacentral:tRNA from 1 species